rnacentral:lncRNA from 1 species
UUUUUUUUUCCUCUACUCACAAGAAACUAAAACAACUAGAAGAAAAAAAGAGAAUCAUGGCGGCGGCAGACUGGUCCAAACUCCCAAAAGAUGUUCUGAAUCUGAUAUCGGAACGACUCCCCCACGAUAUCGAUCGGUUUGUUCCCAUUGGCGCAAUUCCUCGAUAAAUCGCCAUAACACUUUACACUACUUCAAACUCCCAAUCUCCAAAUACGAUAUCGAUCUCUGGAAGUGUAUCGCUUUACGCAUCAACAACAACGUUUUGGCCACCUCCAGAGUGGAUCGUGAAGAGGCACAUGGGUAAACCUAAAAAAAGUAUGUUAUCUUGCAUUCAAAGAUUUUUAAUGUGAUAGUGAUAUUGCAUUAUUGUGCUUAGUUUCCGUUGUUAGAUUUCAUAAUCUUUUCAACUACUUAUAGAAAUUAGUAAAUACCAAAAAUGCUUAUAUUAGUUGCUUUGUCUCUUCAAUCAAUUUAGUACCUUGCAUUAGAGACACUAAAAAAUGCUUGCUUGACGUAAUUUUAGAGAGAUUGUAAACUUAGUUGCACUUCUCCAUUCAUUUUUUACCAAACCUUAUGAUGUCAUUUAAGAGAGAUGAUUUUUGGAACAAAAUUAACCUCCCCCAGUGUUUUAAAUGUUAUUUUCUUCAUCUGUUGUCUUCAAGAACAUGUUACAUAACUAUGAUUGCAAACUCUUUUUUUUUUUCUUUCUUGUUUGCUUUAUUAGAACUGGCAUUGUGAAACAUGUUGUUCUGAUUUACAUAACUAGGCUUUAUCUAUCCUUGCUGUUUCUUGUUUAUUUAGAUUAGGCUAUGAUAGCUCAUCCUUUAUUUGUAUCUAUUUCAAAAUUUUCCUUGACAUUAUUUAUUACAAUUUGGUCUUUCAUUUAGUUCGUAACAGAAAGCCUUGUCACUUUAUGCAGGGGUGAAGCGAAGAAAGAGGACGUGAGUCGUGAGGUCCAACAUUGGGUUCAUGCGCAAAACGCGGCAGUAUGCAUCUUUAAUCUUUUAAUAUUAUAUCUUGUCAAUAUGGCAGUGAAAUUGCCAAAAGUGUUCUAUAUAUUUCCCACAAGACAUCAGUAUUUUGUUUCAGCUCAUGUUUGAUAUUUGAAAAGAGUUAUAAUUUAUAAUUGGUUAUUGAUUUUCACCCUUUAUUCAUGUGAUUUUUGUCAAUAAAUCUUAUUAUAUUUUCUUCUGUACUUCAAAAUUUACCGAAUGAAUGAACGGUCAAUGACGCAGAAAAUCACUUUAAACGAAAAAUAUACUUUAUUAUACAAGUAGGCUAACUUCUGAAUUACACUCAUAACUCAUGAAGCCUAAGUUUAAUUAGAAAAGCAUAGCUUAUCUUGGUACUAUAAGGCCCUUUUUCAAAUUAUUAGAUAUUAGAUGCAUUUGUUGCUACUUUUCAAACAAACUCUUAUUUAAUAUCACUAAGUGCUUUGAAAUAUAAGAAGUCAAAAUUAAUUAUAUACAUAUUCAAAAGAUAUUUUAGAUAUAUAGAUAGUAUAAAAUACACUAUUAACUUUUCUUUUUUUGACUCAAACUAGUAACUUUUCUUUGAGAGUGAAAUAUGCAAAAAGUAGUUAUAUUUAAGAGACAAUGGAGUAAAUCGUAUACAAUAAACCUGAACCUCACGAGAAUCGUCAUCUUCUUCACCGACAUCUCCGUCAUCGUCUUCCCUUCAGAUCCAUUGUGUUCUCGCCUGGCCCCAGCUCCAUCCUUCUCUUCUUCUUCUUUAGUUUCUCAUUUCUCCAAACAAGAAGAGAAUUGGCAACAUCAUCCAUGGCGGCAGAGGUAGACUGGUCUGAACUCCCAAAAGAGCUUCUCAAUCUCAUAUCCCAACGCUUCGACGUCGAAGUCGAUCUCAUUCGCUUCCGAUCUAUUUGUUCCAAUUGGCGGCGCUCUUCCAUCUCAAAUCACCAUACCAACAUUUUACCCUUCAAGAUUCCAGUCCCUAAAUUAUCAUUCUACGUUGAUCCCAUCAACAACAACAGCGACACUUCACCAUUAUGUUACUUCUCCAAACAAAGUAUCUUCCUCAUCAAACCACCACAGCAACAGCAACAAGAUCAAACCCUACUUCGUCCUUGGUUGAUAAGAACUCGCCAAAACUCAAUUGGCAAACCCAAACUCAUGCACCCAUUCCUCCUAGAUUCCAAUCCUGUUCGUUUCCCUUACGUGCUCGAUUUCAACAAAUUCUCCGUCCUCCAUUUGAGAACCAACUUUAUCCCUGACACCGACAUCUCAAUGUACAGUCAACCCAAUGACAGUUACUACCAUUUCCCUGAAAAGGUUGUUGUUGUCACGUGUCAUGGACAACAACCUCUAGUUCUCGGAACGUUCCCCUUUCAUACCCCUGAACCUGUACUGUUCAAAUGUGGCGAUGAGAAUUGGAAGGGCAUUCCCAACAUGUUGUCUACCUUGAAAGACAUAUGCCUUUUCAAAGGGCAGCCUUAUGCGGUUGACAAUAUUGGACGGACAGUUAGGGUCGGAUGGGACUCAAGUGUCCAAUUAGUGGCUGAACCUUUGGUUGGUGGUGGACACAUAAAAUUCUUAGCGGAGAGUGAGGGCGAUUUGUUGUUAGCAGACGUUUAUAACUGGUUAUAUACUGGAUUCUCUAAUCAUUGUCCUGUAAGGAUUGAUUUGUUUAAGCUCAAUGGGAAGGAGGAGAAGUGGGUCAGGUUGACGAGUUUAGGGGAUAGGGUUUUGAUACUGGGGGAGGGUUGUUCUUUUUCUGCUUCUGCUUCGGAUUUGCAUAUUGCUCAUGGGAAUUGCGUCAUCUUUAUGGAUAAUAUUUUCCACCAGUUUUCAUUCUUGCCACCUAAGACUUGUAUUUUGCACUUGGAUGAAGGUCGGCUUUCGCCUUUGUCCGAUUAUCCUGAAUAUGACAACUUGUUCUGGCCACCUCCAGAGUGGAUCCUCCAAAGUUGAAUUUGUUAUUGAGUAUGUUAUCUUGCAUCGAGAGAUUUCUAAUGUGAUAUAGAUUAUUGUGCUUACUUUAUGUUGUUAGAUUGGAAUAAACUUUUCAACUAGUACUUGUAGAUAAAGAAAAAAUUGAAAUGUUGUUACAUUGACUAUGGGUAUUCUAACUAAUAUCUUUGUAAAUAAAAUUUUCAUUUAAUUUUGUUUUCCAUAUGCAACUAGCUUUUACUAAAAUCUGGAUAUGUUUUAUGCAUUUUGUUUUGACUCAUUGGUGGGAUGACUUAUAUUAUAUAUGAUAAAAUGUAUGUAUAUAUAUAUAUAUAUAUAUAUAUAUAUAUAUAUAUAUAUAUAUAUAUAUAUAUAUAUAUAUAUAUAUAUUCGGGACAUCACCAUGGCAAGUUAUUAUUAUGAUGUUUCUAAACUAGAUGUAACAAUCUUGAUGGGUUUGAUUUUCUUCUUUUAUUGUUCUUUUUGCAGACUAGCUAUAUGUUUACCAGCAAACUCCUAAUUCGUAAUUACAUAUUCAGAUGCUGGAAAAUGAGGUGGAAUUUGGAUUGCCGGAUAAGCGUUCUAAUGGUUUCUUCAACUAUCCUAUGUAAGAAAAUUGUGGUUAUUCAGGGUUUGUUAUGUUAUUUUGAUGUGAUGUUGACCACUUGCAUUAUUAUGGUCAUGUAAAAUCGAAACUUGAUUGGUCAGUUACAUAUAUAUCUAAGCUUAGCUUACUUAAGGUUGGUCUUGGUUAUGUUAUUUUGUCGUUGAACGCCUGCAUUGUUAUGGUGCUGUAUAAUGUUUAAACUCAAUUCAUCAGUUAUAGUUAUGUCUCAAUUGAGUUUACUUAAUGUUGAUCUUCUGUUAUGAUUUUACAAGUUCUUCGUUUCUAUCAAAUGACUAAAAACUGUGUGACUUUCUCAAUGGAUAUGGACCAAAAGUAAUU